CCGGCGCACGGGUGAGUAACACGUAUCCAACCUGCCGUCUACUCUUGGCCAGCCUUCUGAAAGGAAGAUUAAUCCAGGAUGGCAUCAUGAGUUCACAUGUCCGCAUGAUUAAAGGUAUUUUCCGGUAGACGAUGGGGAUGCGUUCCAUUAGGUAGUAGGCGGGGUAACGGCCCACCUAGUCAACGAUGGAUAGGGGUUCUGAGAGGAAGGUCCCCCACAUUGGAACUGAGACACGGUCCAA
rnacentral:rRNA from 1 species